GACGAACGCUGGCGGCGUGCUUAACACAUGCAAGUCGAACGGUGAAGCUCCAGCUUGCUGGAGUGGAUCAGUGGCGAACGGGUGAGUAACACGUGAGCAACCUGCCCCUGACUCUGGAAUAAGCGCUGGAAACGGCGUCUAAUACUGGAUACGAGAAGGGUCCGCAUGGGCACUUUCUGGAAAGUUUUUCGGUUGGGGAUGGGCUCGCGGCCUAUCAGCUUGUUGGUGAGGUAAUGGCUCACCAAGGCGACGACGGGUAGCCGGCCUGAGAGGGCGACCGGCCACACUGGGACUGAGACACGGCCCAGACUCCUACGGGAGGCAGCAGUGGGGAAUAUUGCACAAUGGGCGAAAGCCUGAUGCAGCGACGCCGCGUGAGGGAUGACGGCCUUCGGGUUGUAAACCUCUUUCAGCAGGGAAGAAGCGAAAGUGACGGUACCUGCUGAAGAAGCACCGGCUAACUACGUG
rnacentral:rRNA from 1 species